UUUCAGCCUGUUCUACCUGUGAGUCUUGGAGUGAUUUCUCCUGCCCUUUUGGAUUUGUUUGCACCGCUUAUUGCCUACCUGUGUACCGACCUGGACUGUUUUAAUGAAAACUCUGCUUUUUACUGAACUCAUUACUGCACUCUACAGCUCAGCCCCACCAGCGCCCCAGCAUCCACAUGAAGACUCCAACUGAAGCUUUAAGAUGUUGUCCCAUCUCUAGUCACAUCAAACGCAAAUGGCACUGCUGAUGUUUAAAAGACACUUCUAAUUAGAUCCAAUGUCACACACACACACACACACACACACACACACACACACACGCAGUGGGCGGAGCAUCC